UUGGUUAGUCAGGUAAUGAAAUUUAAUUCAAUUUCCAUGAUUUUUCUGGAAAACAAACACGCAAUAAAAUUUCCCAACUGCUGGGCGUGGCCUGUGACAGUUUCCCCACACUCUGUUCCACUAUGUAUCUACAUCUGAAUUCUCCAUUUUUGUAUCUCCAUCUUUCGAUAUAGCCGUGUGAGCGGCACCUGUAACUGCUGUAAAACCGAAAAAUAAAUUCCAACGAAAUUAACACCCGCCUACCAAAACGAGUACGUAUUUGCGAAACCACAAACCAAGAUAAAAUGGAAAACAUACUCAUCCGCCGACUGGCGUUAGAUACGAGUAUUUUGUUCGCUUUUUUUCUCGGCUUAAAUUUUUUUAUUUAGCACGGCAUUUAUUUUAUUUAUUUAAAUUUGAGAGAGCUUAAGUUCAAUUUGCGCCUGUAACAAGUUGUUGUUAAUUGAAGCGCAAACAGGAAAGGAAAACAAAGGCACAGCGAGCAAAAUAAAUACAGAAAAAUUCAGAAAAGCGAUGCGAACGAUGAAAACGAACAUUAGAAAACCAGAAAACCAAACGCGUUGCCAAAAUGGACGGCAGCACAAAAUGGCGGAGAAUAAACAGAAAUUUAUUUAUGUGUACACGCAUUAAUUUAGAAAGUUGGCCAACAAAAAAAUUGCACACAGAGCAAAGUUUUGGCCUGGAGAUUAGGUGAGUAAUUGAAUUAACUCAAUUUUGGCUGGCACGUGGCAGUCGGUGAGGCAGCAAUCCUCUGGCUCUGGACACGUGGCAAAUCGGAGGUUGAGUGGAGUGCAAUGAAGCACUAAAUGCGAAUGUCAUUCCUCAUUAAUUUCAGAGGCGGACGGGCCUAAACAAAUGUUAUGGCUGCCAAGGACAAGCCAGCAGACUGUUUGUGUGGCUUUGCGGCUCCGUCGGCUUAUUUUGAGACGACGGGCCCGGCACAAACUUUGGCGAUGCGGUCUCACUUUAAAUUCACUUAUAAGUUGAACUUGUUCCCCUGCUGAUCCGACUGUGCAGAGGGGAAAUCUCAUUACACCAGAGGCUUAGCACCUGAGCGCUUGUCCGAAAUGAAAUGGUGUCCAAAUUGGGCUGCACACGAGAUCUGCCUAAUGGUCGUUGAAAACUUUUGACCCGCAAAUACAGGGAGAGGAAUCCACAAUUGGAGAAGCGUAGCUCCUCGGAGGAGGUGGCAGUGGAUGUGGAGGAGAGGCAGGCAGGCUCAUUCUAAUAGAUGGAGCAGAGGCCUGAGAAUAAUGGCAGGCAUUCCUGCUUCGUGUUUUCUCCUGCAAUUUGGUUUUAACGGCAGCAAAAUGUGAAAAUGUCAGGCACUCAAGCAUCUCAAGCACAAGCACACAACAAAAACAAAAUAAAAGAAAAUAAUAAUGUGGAACCAUUUGAAUAAAAUAUA